AUACUUAUCUGGCAAGAGAGAGAUCAUCAUCACGAGGUGGUUUCCCCACGGUAAGGCUUAUGCAUUGCACUCUGGAUGUGCUGACCUCUGCAAUUUCCCCAAAUGUAGGAAACACAACUGCAUAAUUUGUCAUAGUGGGGGACUCAGUUAAUGCUCUCCCCUG
rnacentral:snRNA from 1 species